rnacentral:rRNA from 1 species
GACAGAGGUGCCGAGCGUUUAGGCGGAAUCACUGGGCUUAAAGCGUGUGUAGGCGGACUUCUAAGUACCUUGUGAAAUCCCAUGGCUCAACCAUGGAACUGCUCGGUAUACUGGUUGUCUUGAGCCACUUAGGGGCAGUCGGAACAGCGGUGGAGCGGUGAAAUGCGUAGAUAUCGUCUGGAACGCAACGGUAGAAAACAGACUGCUGGGAGUGUGCUGACGUGAGACACGAAAGCCAGGGGAGCAAAACGGG